rnacentral:misc_RNA from 1 species
ACACCUCAAAUAGUCAAAUAAUUGCAACCUCUGGGUUUGCAACAUUGCUCUAAAAUCAAGUAUUAGGUGAUCCCCACUCUAAUGCUCAUAUUUGAUAGAGGGCUAUAUAAGAAAGGUUAGCAAAUAUCAUAACAGAUCUUAUUAGCUUCACAGCUACCAUAUUCUAUUCACUACAAACAAAAAGGGGAAAGGCUGCAAGUAAG